UCUCGUAGUAAUGGCGAAUGAACUGGGACAAGUUCAGACUGAUAAUCGGGACCUUCGGUCUUGAAUUGUAGUCUUGCGACGUCUUGCCAGCAGAGGCAGAGAUGUAAGCCUUCUGGAAAGGAGCAUCAAAGAGGGUGAUCAUCCUGUUUGACAUCUCGUCGCCUCCGCAUACGGCGGGCUUCCCCAGAGUCACGUUCCUCGGGAUUGGAACGCAAAGUGGGUGGUAAAUUUCAUCUAAAACUAAAUAUAGGCCUGAGACCGAUAGCAAACAAGUACCCUGAGGGAAAGGUGAAAAGGACUUUGGAAAGAGAGUUAAAAGUGUCUGAAAUUGCUGAAAGAGAAGCGAAUGGAACCAGUCUUUCUCUGCAAGAUUGUUGUGUGUUCUGGUGCCUUGUUGGCUGUUCAGCGCAAGCGGAGGGCUGGCGUGCAAGCCAUGAACGCGUAGUGUCUCUUGCAGUGCGCGUCAAUGUCGGUGCGCUUGUGAAGAAAACUCCAGAGACAUGUCAGCUUGCUUCCGGGUGAGCGAACGUGUCUGGUUGAACUCACGAGCGCACCGAGGCUCUGCUCACCUGACUGCGCGAGUGCGCUCUGGCAGGUGCCGCCCGCGGUCUUGCCAGCGCGCGCUUUGCGCGUCAGCAGCACAGACAUUGACGAAAUGGUUUCAUUCGACCCGUCUUGAAACACGGACCAAGGAGUCUAACAUAUGUGCGAGUAAUUGGGUAUUACACCUGCUUGCGCAAUGAAAGUGACUGCUGGGAUUCUUGCACCAGCAACCGACCAAUCGACUGUGAGAGGUUUGAGUAUGAGCACAUCUGUUAGGACCCGAAAGAUGGUGAACUAUGCCUGAGAAGGGUGAAGUCAGGGGAAACUCUGAUGGAGGCUCGUAGCGAUACUGACGUGCAAAUCGUUCGUCAUACUUGGGUAUAGGGGCGAAAGACUAAUCGAACCAUCUAGUAGCUGGUUCCCUCCGAAGUUUCCCUCAGGAUAGCUGGAGUUGCACAGUUUUGUCAGGUAAAGCGAAUGAUUAGAGGCAUCGGGGACGCGUUGUCCUCGACCUAUUCUCAAACUUUAAAUGGGCAAGAUCCAGGGGUUGCUUUAGUGAACUUCUGGGAUAAAUGACAACUCUAAGUGGGCCAUUUUUGGUAAGCAGAACUGGCGAUGAGGGAUGAACCUAACGUCUGGUUAAGGUGCUUAACUGCUCGCUCAUCAGAUACCAUAAAGGGUGUUGGUUCAUUUUAACAGCAGGAC
rnacentral:rRNA from 1 species